CGCUGGCGGCGUGCUUAACACAUGCAAGUCGAACGRAGAUAUUAAGAAUGAGAGCUUCGGCAGGAAUUUUUAUUAUCUUAGUGGCGGACGGGUGAGUAACGUGUGGGCAACCUGCCCUGCACUGGGGAAUAAUCAUUGGAAACGAUGACUAAUACCGCAUACGGUUCYUGGGAGGCAUCUUCCGGGAAARAAAGGAUUUAUUCGGUGCAGGAUGGGCCCGCAUCUGAUUAGCUAGUUGGUGAGAUAACAGCCCACCAAGGCGACGAUCAGUAGCCGACCUGAGAGGGUGACCGGCCACAUUGGGACUGAGACACGGCCCAAACUCCUACGGGAGGCAGCAGUGGGGAAUAUUGCACAAUGGGCGAAAGCCUGAUGCAGCAACGCCGCGUGAAGGAAGAAGGGUUUCGGCUCGUAAACUUCUAUCAACAGGGACGAAAGAAAUGACGGUACCUGAAUAAGAAGCCCCGGCUAACUACGUGCCAGCAGCCGCGGUAAUACGUAGGGGGCAAGCGUUAUCCGGAAUUACUGGGUGUAAAGGGUGAGUAGGCGGCAUGGUAAGCCAGAUGUGAAAGCCUUGGGCUUAACCCGAGGAUUGCAUUUGGAACUAUCAAGCUAGAGUACAGGAGAGGAAAGCGGAAUUCCUAGUGUAGCGGUGAAAUGCGUAGAUAUUAGGAAGAACACCAGUGGCGAAGGCGGCUUUCUGGACUGAAACUGACGCUGAGGCACGAAAGCGUGGGGAGCGAACAGGAUUAGAUACCCUGGUAGUCCACGCUGUAAACGAUGAGUGCUAGGUGUCGGGGAGGAAUCCCCGGUGCCGCAGCUAACGCAAUAAGCACUCCACCUGGGGAGUACGACCGCAAGGUUGAAACUCAAAGGAAUUGACG
rnacentral:rRNA from 1 species